CCUUACUUUUGUCAGACAUUUUUCUGUUAGCCUCUUCAGCAGUUAAUUCGUCAUCUUUCGGUAAAUUUUUCACUUGAUCCGCGCUGGGUGGGAACUCUCCAUUCAAAUCUGGUUUCUUUGAUGAUUUACUCAUAAUAUCCCCAUCUAAAGAGUCUUCCCCCUCUGAUCCUUUGCUGUCCUCGUCGUCAUCUUUGUUAUUCG